rnacentral:rRNA from 1 species
AUGUGGUUCAUGCCAACAGCAAAUAUGCACAACUUGAUAAGAUAUAUACCUUUCUGGGAUCAAGUGCAUCCUAACUCACCUGCGCAGGAUAAGGAUUGGUCGGUGCUGCCGGCUGGCGUCAAGUUCGAUCCCACGGAUCAGGAGCUGAUCGAGCACCUUGAGGCCAAAGUGAGUGAUGACAGCGCGAGAUCUCACCCUCUCAUCGAUUUGUUCAUACCAACCAUCGACAACGAGCACGGCAUAUGCUACACCCAUCCUGAGAAAUUUCCAGGUAUCACACUGAGUGGCCUAAGCCAGCAUUUCUUCCAGCGCAAUUUCAGGGCAUUCAAAAGGGGUACAUGGACACGUCGCAAGAUACAGUCGGAGUGCGGCAUGCACGCGAUGUUGCACAACACCGGCAAUACCUUGCCGCUGAUGGUCAACGGCCGGCAGAUGGGCAGCAAAAAGGUUCUGGUGCUUCACACCAACAAGAACUUCGACCAGCAGAGGACCAACUAG